CCAGUAAUAGAAUCAGUUAUAUUUUCCAUGAACUAGAUAUUAUUUCUCUAUCUAUAAUUUUAUUGAGAUUACUCCUAUUUCCUAACGACAAUACUGCUGCUUUCAUUAAUGCAUUGUUGUUAUCCUGAUAUUUUCCUUCUUUAUAGGCAGAUCUGAAUUAUAUACCUAACCUACAUCUUUCCGAAAUAAUCACUUUCAGAUUGGCAUGGAUUUUCUUCUAAAUGUAUGGACUGGUCCUGAAGGAAGGUCGAUAAGCACACUGUAUGAGUGUUGAUGUCACAAGGUCUAUUGGAUGGCCAUCUAGCUAGGGCUAGCAAUUACACGAGAGGGGCAGAAACCAUGAAGCGGGCGGUUCACAUCAAUUGGAUUUUCCGUGUAUAGGAGCAAACCGUGAAUUACCCAAGUUUCUUAGUGUAAAUUAGUGCAGCUGAAGCAUACUGUUUCCUCUAUUUUACAUCAGCUAUCACUAUGUAAACCUCUACGGUGUCUUAGGCACUGAACCAUACUGUUUCCUCUAUUUUACCUUUGAGUUUAUGAGAAGUAUUCGUGUAAAAGAAUUAAUUAAAAUGUUUGGUUCUGGUUUGAUAAGUUUCAAGGACAUGCACAUUACUGUUAA